AUUGAACGCUGGCGGCAGGCCUAACACAUGCAAGUCGAGCGAGCGGCGGACGGGUGAGUAAUGUCUGGGAAACUGCCUGAUGGAGGGGGAUAACUACUGGAAACGGUAGCUAAAACCGCAUACCACAAGCUGUGCCCAGACGGGAUUAGCUAGUAGGUGGGGUAAUGGCUCACCUAGUCGACGAUCCCUAGCUGGUCUGAGAGGAUGACCAGCCACACUGGAACUGAGACACGGUCCAGACUCCUACGGGAGGCAGCAGUGGGGAAUAUUGCACAAUGGGCGCAAGCCUGAUGCAGCCAUGCCGCGUGUGUGAAGAAGGCCUUCGGGUUGUAAAGCACUUUCAGCGGGGAGGCGUUACCCGCAGAAGAAGCACCGGCUAACUCCGUGCCAGCAGCCGCGGUAAUUC
rnacentral:rRNA from 1 species